UGUUAUAUGAAACUGUGUUAUUUUUAGGACUAUGAUCCUGAUUACUUGGAGCCUAGUAGACAUCGGCCACGAUUGAAUUAUAAUGAUCCAACAGCUUCAUUUCGCAGAAACCAUUAUGGUGAUACUUAUGGAGCUGGUAGCAGUCUCUACCCUCAUGAAUAUUAUGGUCCUGAAUCUCAUUAUGGUCCACAUUCAUCUUAUUAUGGGCGCAAUCAAUCAUAUGGUGGGGGUCGCUACUAUUAGACCCUAGAACUAUUCGGUAAUACAAAUGGUUUGCAA